rnacentral:tmRNA from 1 species
GGGGGCGACAUGGUUUCGACGUGGGUUGCGAAACCCUGAGUGCAUGCCGAGGCGCAGAUCACCUCGUAAAACCAACUGCAAACCCUAUAGUUGCCAACGACGACAACUACGCUUUAGCUGCUUAAAAACCAGCCUAUAGCCCUCCGACAGGUUCGUGCUUGUGCGUCCGACUCGGGGGUCAUCUAUCGCAAGCUCGCGCAACGACAUGUUUGGGGUCCGAGCGUUAAAACUUUUCCGAACUGGCUGCCGGCUUACCCUGCCCGUCGGGUUACCGUCAGUAAGAUUAAUGGCGGAAUAAGCAUGUAGAGCGCAGGGCGGAGAACUUACGGACGCGGGUUCGAUUCCCGCCGCCUCCACCA